GACGAACGCUGGCGGCGUGCUUAACACAUGCGAGUCGAACGGAAAGGCCCUGCUUUUGUGGGGUGCUCGAGUGGCGAACGGGUGAGUAACACGUGAGUAACCUGCCCUUGACUUUGGGAUAACUUCAGGAAACUGGGGCUAAUACCGGAUAGGAGCUCCUGCUGAAUGGUGGGGGUUGGAAAGUUUCGGCGGUUGGGGAUGGACUCGCGGCUUAUCCGCUUGUUGGUGGGGUAGUGGCUUACCAAGGCGUUGACGGGUAGCCGGCCUGAGAGGGUGACCGGCCACAAUGGGACUGAGAUACGGCCCAGAGUCCAACGGGAGGCAACAGUGGGAAGUAUUGCACAAUGGGCGGAAGCCUGAGGCGGCAACGCCGGGUGCGGGAUGACGGCCUUCGGGUUGUAAACCGCUUUCGCCUGUGACGGAGCGUGAGUGACGGUAAUGGGUAAAGAAGCACCGGCUAACUACGUG
rnacentral:rRNA from 1 species